rnacentral:lncRNA from 1 species
AUUUUAUCCUUUAAAGGGGAAUAAGAAUGGGCUGGGAGAUCUAUAGUACCAUAUAGAGCCAUAACAUUAAUUCACUGUGCUGCAGCCCCACAUCAGGAAGUGACCAUGUGUGACACUUAGUGCUGGGUGGGUGUUGGAGGAGGAGUAAAAGGCGCCAAAUGGAACACUAGGACUGUGGGAAAUGACACUGUCUGUGACACCUCUGACUCUUACCCCACAUUUACCUCAGCUCAUCUGCAAGGGUGGGGGGCAUCUCUUUUUAAAUUACACAAUGAUUAAUGCACAAGGAAAUGAUAAAUGCAUGUAAUAUGUGCCACCCACAAAUAAAAGUCCCCACAUUUGCAACUCUAUAGCCUAACUUUAUGAGGAACUUCCAAAGCAAAAUCCCUAAAUUGGUAGGUCAGCAAUUAACAUUGCCUCUUGUAGUUACAGCCUUUCAGCACUGAACAGCAGAAGGAAAUGCUCAUGGUUAUUAUUUUCUCCACCCAGAUUAUCCCUGAGAUUCCCCAGAAGAGCAGAAAAGCGGAGAUUUACUUGAACCGACUGAGACAAAUGCACAAUCUUUGCUUAAGCAAUAUGGCUUUCUCCCAAAGGUUGGUAAUUCAGUAAACAGGAUGAAACGUAAAGAAAACAAUGCACUGACAUAGAGAAUUUAGGUCCUUUCUAUGACUUCAGAUUUAAUUCAGAACUAAAGAGCAGACAGGAGAUCAGAGGUGUAUUGAAGAAGUCUUUCAACUGUUCUUUAAACUGAGUGAGGUUUGUUUUUCUCUGCUUGCUGCGAACUCUGGUCCAGACUCCUGGACAGAAAGACAGACUCAGUGUGUUGGCAGGAGGAGCAAGGCAUCCAAGAUUCGGAGCUUUCAGUCACUGGCUCCAAACAAGGGCAGAGGAGUCAAACCAAACAGCUUCCUCUCAGCUCUAUGAAACAGACACAAAGUGUCCAAACUGACCAACCUUCAAGUCCCCGACUGCUGAGCAGACUGACCUCAACCAGGUCUCUUCUUACCAGCCAGUGCUGUGCUGACACUCUGGUUUGGGAUGCAGCAGUGUGCUGCCCUAAAACACCUGAUCCCUUGUCCAUUGAAGAUGUGUGUCAGCAGAAGCAUGUAUUGGUAAGAUUUUUUUCCCUGGAUUACUUUUACUUCUUCAUAAAGAAUAUAUUGUUUUUCUAAAUCUUGUGUCUCUUCUUGCUUCAGAUAAUUGACCAUGGGCCUAAACUGUGGAGGAACUAUAUAUAAAACACAGAGUAUAUGGAGUGUAAUGUACUUGAUGAUAAUUUAAUGAUCUAAUUAUUAUUAUUAUGAUUUUCAUGUGUAGAUUGUUGACUUUAUUGUUGAUUUUAGCUGUAUGUACAGUGAUGACCUCAUAUAUCUGUAGGUUUGCUGAAAUCUGAAAUAAAAAAUGACACUAUAAUCAAACUGAAAACCUUUUGUACUGAAAUGAGGGCUGAUGCCUGCAGGAUGAUGAGUAGUUAAAAACAACAUUUUAUUUAUUUAUUUUCAUUAAGACACUUCAGUGUUGGUCUAUGUUUAAAAACAAUC